GUGUGAUAUGAAAAGGAGAAGGUUAGCACUCCCCUUGAUAAGGAUGGGAGUGGUCUUUGUGGCCUUUCCAACUCAUGUAUGGUUAAGGCUUUACCACUUACUUUAUGGCAUCUAACCACCAAUUUUU